rnacentral:lncRNA from 1 species
GAUCAUGGAGGGUGCUUCUUCUUCUUCCCUCGCACGUGCUCUGGCGGUUCUAGCUAUCAUCUGCUGUUCCUUCGCAUGCUCGGCGGCAAAGGGCCCUGGUAAACGCCUCAAUUGUCGUCUCCUACUCUUAUUUUCAUCAUCCCGAGAUACAACUCGGUAGUAAAUAAUAUUGCCAUGCCCGGGCCGUUUGUGUACAUGCAGAUGCUGCAAACGGACACCAUCAGGGGAAUGGUCCUCUGCCGCCCACGGGGUCAGCCGGGCAGAACCCGACGAACUGCUUCCGCUGUGGGGACUGCACGGUCCCUCCGCCACUGCUGCCACCACCGGGGAUGCCGGCACGUGCGCCACACCGAAAGGCACUGCAGCCGGUUGCGAGCGUCGAGCCUUACGCAUGAAGCGCCUCCGUAUAUACAGUAUAUCCUUGUGUAGUUGUGUCUAAACGGUCAAUCCAUAGCCGGUGCCAAAGAUUUGGAUAAAGGAUCAAUCAAUCUACUUAUGUACGUGUUUUUGGGAUUAUUACGCACGCCUGGCUCCGCGUAGUUUCAGUAUAUACUAGCAUGGUGUCCCAUGCAAAUACGCAGACAUCUUAUCAUGCCUCCCGUCCUAAAAUAAGUAUCGCGAUUUUAAUUCAAAUUAAUUUGAACUAAAACCAGCACACUUGUUUUGGGACGAAGGAGUACUAUUUCCUAUUUAUAAUUAUUUUUACGAAUAAGAACUUAUACUUCAUUCA